CCUACGGGGGGCUGCAGUGGGGAAUAUUGGACAAUGGGGGCAACCCUGAUCCAGCCAUGCCGCGUGUGUGAAGAAGGCCCUCGGGUUGUAAAGCACUUUCAGUGAGGAAGAACGCCUGGUGGUUAAUACCCAUCAGGAAAGACAUCACUCACAGAAGAAGCACCGGCUAACUCCGUGCCAGCAGCCGCGGUAAUACGGAGGGUGCGAGCGUUAAUCGGAAUUACUGGGCGUAAAGCGCGCGUAGGUGGCUUGAUAAGCCGGUUGUGAAAGCCCCGGGCUCAACCUGGGAACGGCAUCCGGAACUGUCGAGCUAGAGUGCAGGAGAGGAAGGUAGAAUUCCCGGUGUAGCGGUGAAAUGCGUAGAGAUCGGGAGGAAUACCAGUGGCGAAGGCGGCCUUCUGGACUGACACUGACACUGAGGUGCGAAAGCGUGGGUAGCAAACAGGAUUAGAUACCCCUGUAGUC
rnacentral:rRNA from 1 species